rnacentral:rRNA from 1 species
AACAGGAUUAGAUACCCUGGUAGUCCACGCCGUAAACGUUGGGCGCUAGAUGUAGGGACCUUUCCACGGUUUCUGUGUCGUAGCUAACGCAUUAAGCGCCCCGCCUGGGGAGUACGGCCGCAAGGCUAAAACUCAAAGGAAUUGACGGGGGCCCGCACAAGCGGCGGAGCAUGCGGAUUAAUUCGAUGCAACGCGAAGAACCUUACCAAGGCUUGACAUACACCGGAAACGGCCAGAGAUGGUCGCCCCCUUGUGGUCGGUGUACAGGUGGUGCAUGGUUGUCGUCAGCUCGUGUCGUGAGAUGUUGGGUUAAGUCCCGCAACGAGCGCAACCCUCGUUCUAUGUUGCCAGCGCGUUAUGGCGGGGACUCAUAGGAGACUGCCGGGGUCAACUCGGAGGAAGGUGGGGAUGACGUCAAAUCAUCAUGCCCCUUAUGUCUUGGGCUUCACGCAUGCUACAAUGGCCGGUACAAAGGGCUGCGAUACCGUAAGGUGGAGCGAAUCCCAAAAAGCCGGUCUCAGUUCGGAUUGAGGUCUGCAACUCGACCUCAUGAAGUCGGAGUCGCUAGUAAUCGCAGAUCAGCAACGCUGCGGUGAAUACGUUCCCGGGCCUUGUACACACCGCCCGUCAAGUCAUGAAAGUCGGUAACACCCGAAGCCGGUGGCCUAACCCUUGUGGAAGGAGCCGUCGAAAGUGGGAUCGGUGAUUAGACUAAGUCGUAACAA